GCGGGCAUGGUGGCACGCGCCUGUAGUCCCAGCUACUCGGGAGGCUGAGGUGGGAGGAUCACUUGAGUCCAGGAGUUCUGGGCUGCAGUGCGCUAUGCCGAUUGGGUGUCCGCACUAAGUUCGGCAUCAAUAUGGUGACCUCCCGGGAGCGGGGGACCACCAGGUUGCCUAAGGAGGAGUGAACCGGCCCAGGUCGGAAACGGAGCAGGUCAAAAAACGCAACCGUGUUACAGCCUUGAAUCAGGGCAGCAUUGUCUAACACAGUAAGACUUGU
rnacentral:SRP_RNA from 1 species